rnacentral:rRNA from 1 species
UACGGAGGGUGCGAGCGUUAAUCGGAAUAACUGGGCGUAAAGGGCACGCAGGCGGGCUUUUAAGUGAGAUGUGAAAUCCCCAGGCUUAACCUGGGAAUAGCAUUUCAGACUGGGAGCCUAGAGUACUUUAGGGAGGGGUAGAAUUCCACGCGUAGCGGUGAAAUGCGUAGAGAUGUGGAGGAAUACCGAAGGCGAAGGCAGCCCCUUGGGAAUGUACUGACGCUCAUGUGCGGAAGCGUGGGGAUCAAACAGG